rnacentral:piRNA from 1 species
UNGGUUCAGUCAGAUCCUGAAGCCAGAUGG